GUGAACGCUGGCGGUAGGCCUAACACAUGCAAGUCGAACGGCAGCACAGUAAGCGCUUGCUCUUACGGGUGGCGAGUGGCGGACGGGUGAGGAAUACAUCGGAAUCUACUUUUUCGUGGGGGAUCACGUAGGGAAACUUACGCUAAUACCGCAUACGACCUACGGGUGAAAGCAGGGGAUCUUCGGACCUUGCGCGAUUGAAUGAGCCGAUGUCGGAUUAGCUAGUUGGCGGGGUAAAGGCCCACCAAGGCGACGAUCCGUAGCUGGUCUGAGAGGAUGAUCAGCCACACUGGAACUGAGACACGGUCCAGACUCCUACGGGAGGCAGCAGUGGGGAAUAUUGGACAAUGGGCGCAAGCCUGAUCCAGCCAUACCGCGUGGGUGAAGAAGGCCUUCGGGUUGUAAAGCCCUUUUGUUGGGAAAGAAAAGCAGCAGGUUAAUACCCCGCUGUUCUGACGGUACCCAAAGAAUAAGCACCGGCUAACUUCGUG
rnacentral:rRNA from 1 species